GCCCCACCUGACCGCGGGGGCCUCCCCCCACCUGCUCUGCUGGGCUUUGCAGGGCCAAAAGUUAAAAUGUGUGAUGAUAUCCCAGAUAAUUGGCAUAUUGGAGAGAAAUGCCUUGCCCCUUGUCUUGAAAAUGGGAAACUUCAUGAAGGAACAAUAGCCUCUAUUGAAAAGGACAAGAAUGGAAAAUCGUUUGCUGUUGUAUCAUUCUUGGACUCCAAAGAAAGGAAAAUACUAAUAACUAAACUUUGUAGAGUCAAAGCCAGUAGAGGAUCGUGGAAAAACUUAAUAUUUGAUGAUGGUGAUCUGGAAAAGCCUUAUUUUCCUGACCAAAGUCUUCCAUCGCCUGCAGUUGCUUUUAAAUUAUCUGACAAUGGCGAUUUUAUCCCAUAUACAAUUAACAGGUACCUGCGUGAUUAUCAAAGGGAAGGAACCCAAUUUCUGUAUGGACACUAUGCUAAUAAAAGGGGGUGUAUUCUUGGAGAUGAUAUGGGCCUUGGAAAGACAAUACAGGUCAUUUCGUUUUUGGCUGCAGUGUUACACAAAAAGGGAACACGUGAAGAUAUUGAAAACAAUAUGCCAGAAUUUUUACUGAGGACAAUGAAAAAAGAAGCGAAGUGUAACCCCAAGAAGACUUUCCUCAUAGUGGCCCCUCUUUCAGUGCUGUACAACUGGAAGGAUGAGUUAGACACAUGGGGGUACUUUAAGGUCUGUAUCUUACACGGCAGUAAAAAGGAUGAUGACUUGAGUCGCAUCAAGCAAGGGAAAUGUGAAGUUGCCCUUACAACGUAUGAGAUACUUCGCCUGUAUUUGGAUGAAUUUAACAGUGUAGAAUGGUCUGCUGUGAUAGUGGAUGAAGCACAUAGAAUCAAGAAUCCAAAGGCUCAAAUAACUCAAACGAUGAAGUCAUUAAAAUGCAGUGUUCGCAUAGGUCUUACUGGAACCAUUCUUCAAAACAAUAUGAAGGAGCUUUGGUGUGUUAUGGACUGGGCUGUACCAGGACUUUUGGGUAGCAGACUACAUUUCAAGAAGAAAUUUUCUGAUCCAGUGGAGCAUGGCCAGAGGCACACUGCAACUAAAAGAGAGCUAGCAACAGGUCGUAAGGCCAUGGUGAAGCUAGCAAGAAAAAUGUCUGGCUGGUUUCUGAGACGUACCAAAGCUCUUAUCAGUGAUCAGUUGCCAAAAAAGGAAGACAGAAUGGUAUACUGUUCCCUGACCGAAUUCCAGAAAGCGGUGUACCAGGCUGUGCUGGAGACAGAAGAUGUAAGCUUAGUAUUACGAGCAGGAGAGCCCUGUAGCUGCAACAGUGGUCGUAAAAGGAAGAACUGUUGUUACAAAGUAAAUGCUCAUGGUGAAACAAUUAAGUCACUGCGCUUUAGUUACCUGACAAUCCUACAGAAGGUUGCAAAUCAUGCUGCACUGCUGCAGACAGACAACACUAGUAAGCAGCAGGAAGCACAUAUCAAACGGGUAUGCAGCCAGGUAUUUUCCAUCUUUCCAGAUUUUGUGCAGUUAAGCAAAGAUGCAGCCUUUGAAACAAUUUCAGAUCCAAAGUACAGUGGGAAAAUGAAGGUCCUUCAACAGCUUUUAAAUCACUUCAGAAAAAACAAGGAUAAACUUCUUCUUUUCUCCUUUUCCACAAAGUUGCUAGAUGUGCUGGAACAAUACUGUAUGGCAUCUGGGCUAGACUACCGAAGACUUGAUGGAAAUACAAAAUCAGAAGAUAGGAUCAGAAUUGUAAGAGAGUUCAACAGCAGUCAAGAAAUUAACAUCUGUCUUGUAUCUACAAUGGCUGGUGGACUCGGUCUUAAUUUUGUUGGGGCCAAUGUUGUUAUACUGUUUGAUCCUACAUGGAACCCAGCAAAUGAUCUUCAAGCUAUUGACAGAGCGUAUAGGAUUGGCCAAUACAAAGAUGUUAAAGUGUUUAGAUUGAUAUCCUUGGGAACCGUGGAGGAGAUGAUGUACUUGCGACAAGUUUAUAAACAGCAACUUCACUGUGCGGUGGUUGGAAGUGAAAAUGCCAAGCGGUAUUUUGAGGCAGUGCAAGGAUCAAAGGAACAUCAAGGAGAGCUUUUUGGGAUCCAUAACCUUUUCAAACUCAGGACUCAUGGGUCCUGUCUUACCAAAGACAUCCUGGAGAGGGAAGGGCGAGUGGAAGCAGGAGUCAUGACAGCAACUACAUGGCUAAAGGAAGAGACUCCUCCGUGCAGCUCAGAAAAGUAUGAACAGACAGACUGUAAAGAAGAUGGAGAACCUGGAAGCAUUCAAGCACAAUUAAAAAGGGAAGAAACAGAUAUUUGUGAUGACUUCAGUGAUGAUGAUAUUCUGGAAACUUCCGUGAAAAAAUGUGGCAGAAGGAAGCAUUGCAAUGCAAACAAUUUAAUGGUAACAAAGGGACAGCUUUCCUUAAUGCAGUGUGGAUUCUCUAAGUUGUUGCAGGGAGAAAUUGAAACUGCCAAAGACGACUAUAAUAAUUAUAACUCUCAUCAUUCAAAUUCUGAUGAUCAGACUAUAAGAACAAAAGUGAAUAACAAGCAUAGUGAUUUUCAGAAAUGUCAAAGCCAUGUGCAUGUUUUGGAGCAUCGGAAAGCUGCUCAGGCACCAGAUGGAACUGAUAAACAAGAUAUGCCUUAUACAGAUUGGCUCGUUUUAUCAAGCUUUGAGGAGGAUGGGGACAGAGAAAGUGAGGAUCAAUGCAUUUCAAAGCAAAGUGAUGUAGUCAUUGAAACUGAAUGGAGUUCUGAAGAGAAUGAUGAUGUUGUCUUUCCUACCCAAGUUCCAGAAUACCAGCAACCAGUGCUUACUAAAAAAGCUGAAAUUUACAAGUCAGCACCUGAAAAUUGUGAAGAGUUAGCAAAAGGAAAGGAUGGGUUGGUAUUUAAUGGAGACAGUAGGCAACUUGGAUUCCAUAGUACCGAGUUGAAUUUCAGCAAAGUCAUGUCUUUUAAAGACAUCAAGAACAGCACAAGAGAUUUGAAAGGGACAAGUGACAUAAGUGAUGAAUCUGAUGACAUUGAAAUUUCCCAUAAUUCUGAAUCAAGAAAGUUAAGAACUUUAAGCUUUCCAAAACGGAAAGAAAGACAUAUCCAUAACAAUGGACUAAGUAGCUUCUCCAAAUCCCUGCUACAAUUGAAGAAGCGCAGUAGAAAAGAAAAGGGAAGUGAUUCUCAGAAUAUAGAUGAAUUUUCAUCGUCUGAAGAUAACUUACCAGUUGAGAAAAUUGAUGCCAGAAAGCAAAGUUAUAAGUGUAAAAGACAGAGAGUCAGAGUUCAGUUUGGAUCUAAAAUGCUUCAUCCUAUUCAAGAUACUUCUGUUGCACAAAUGAAGUCUACCAAUUAUGCUUUGCAUCGAACUUCUGCAAAUAAAACUGAAUUUGAACAUCAAGAACAAAAAGUGGAAUCAAUGGACAGAUAUCUAGAUGGUGUUCAAGAAGUGGCAUAUAUUCAUUCAAAUCAGAACGUGGUUGGAUCCAGCAAGGCUGAGAAUCACUUGAGCCGGUGGGCAGUGCGGGACGUAUUUGAGUUGAAGCAGUUUUCCCAGCUCCCUGCUAAUGUAACAGUCUGUAGUGCCAAGAAACUGCUUAAAACUGGAGCAGACUGCAAAACCCAAGAGGACUCUUCCUUCAAAGUGAGAGAGGUUGCAUGGGAAGAAGAUUCUUGAGAGCCAAGGUAGAAGGGAUGGGGGGCAGGGAGUUUUGGUCCUCAAAGGAGAAUUUUGAAGGUAUGUAGAACAUCUUAUUUAAGAACAUAAGUUACUAAUGAAUAAGUAAACUUGGAUUUAAGUUGGUUAUAAAAAGUGUGAGAUUUGAACUUUGAGAUAAGAAAAGAUGUUUGUCUUGGUGAUAGUCUCUUUCUUUAAUUUGUCUUCAGAAGGUCUAUAUUAGGUCUGGACUGUUGGCACUAAUGUAAUCCACAGUCAGAUAUCUCUUAACCUUUCAAACUGUAGGUUUCAGUCAAGCAUAUUUUUUUUUAAUCCAGUAAUAAGUAGUCAGUAUGUCCUUAACAUUACCUGUGCUAGUAUUCAUAUACCCCAGCUGCCUUUUCUCUGAAGUAAUCGAACAUAUUAUUUUAACCUGCUAUUGUUCUGUACCAUUAAAGGCUUAAGGGAACAAAAUCUUUGUUCUUCUAUGAGAAAUAAGUCUUGCUACUAUUUCUUCUGUCUUGCUUGCUUUGUGCUCCAGGUUCCAUAACAUGGAACCAGUCCUGGUACAUGGCUUCAAGACAGCUGCAGAGCCUUUGACUCUUCUUUCUCCUAGGGUGGUAGGGAAUGCAGUCAUGCUCUCUAUAUUUGUUUGUUUUAAAAGGAAUUGUAUAAAUUUACUAGUUUAGCUAGAAUAUUCAUGUUUACAGUCCCAAAUGCUUGUUCAGUAUGUUUUUCCAUAAAUUCUGUAUGGCUAUCGAAAAUACAGUUAGGUAACAAGAACCAGAAUAUGAAGCCUGCUGUCAAGAAAUAAAAGUAGAACAAUAUGAGAGCUCUCCCACAACUUACCAGCCAUGAAAGGUGAGAUCAAUUCUAGAAGCAGUAAAAGUAACAGUAUAAAGUAUGCAUUAAUUAUACAAGCAAGAGAAGAAACAUAUUUUAGUUGACUAUCAUUAGUCAAAAUAGGUCCUGUCCAGCAAAGAAAGAUAACUAUUUGAACAUAGUUUAUAUAUAGUAGAAGCAAACAAAUGUGAAAGGUUUUAUUGCAUGAUCCUGAAGAAACUAAAAUAAAUUGUGGUUUUGGGGAAUAUAUUCCCUUUAUCAUAAAAGUCCAAGGGAUUACAUAAAAAUGGAUAAUAUAAAAAUUUUCUGUAGCUGUAGGUGAGUUGGAGUAGCAUUUUCAAUGAUGAGAUACUGUUGUCUUGUUAUAGAGGGAGCUUUCAUUAAUAGUCAUCUACAGCAGUGGGUAUCUGCUUAUACUUUAUUUUGCAAGUAUAAUCAGGGAGAUACUUAAAAGAAUAGCAAUUUUUUUUUUUUAGAUAGAGAUGGUAUUUAUAUACUUGGUACUCUACAUUUAAGGGAUAUCUAGAAUUACAGUAAAAAUAUUUUCAUGUACUAGCAACAGUUUCUGAAUUGUACAUAUUAUCUUGUGGCUGAAGAUUGCCCAUAUACUGACCAAUGACCACAGUUGGCAGUGUCAGAUCAAUGUAGAUUUUGAGAAGAGAGGACAGAAGAACAGUGUGAUAAUGGUUGCUCAAACAGUUGAUGUUUCUGAUAGUGUUGCUUAUGUGGAAGGUACUAAAGCAUCAGUAACUUGAGGUGUUUAAGAGCCAGUAAUCAAAACAAAGCCAGGGAUUUUUGUUCCAUGCAGAGGUGUGGCAGACAGCUGUUCCUGAUGAAAUUUUUGAGAUACAGAUUGUACAUUUCAACUUCCUCUGUAGUUCUAAAAAUUUAUUAUACAUCACAGAACCUAAGUGUCACAGAAAGUAUUUAAGUGUCGUCUUUUGUUCUGGCCAUUUGUGAUCUUUCACAGCAAGUUGAAAGUGUUAAGGUAGAAAUUAUGGUCAGUUCUGUGAUACCAUGAUGCAAGGAGAAUCACACCAGGCUUCAAUAUUCUAAACAUCUGAGGGUAGAAAAUGCACGUCGCUUACUGUGGCAGAUAUCCAUUAAAAAUUACUGAGAGCUGGUCUUUGUUGCUUCCUUAUGCACAUGACUACUAAAUACGCUUUAUCUGCUAUUUCACAGAAGAUUAUUAGUAACAAGAGUUUUCUGGUCUUCUGUGUAGAAGUUUGAGUGAAGUAGAUUGUAUUAGAAAUUAACCUGUUGGAAUAAAGAACUUGUUUUUCCUGCAUUUUUUUGUAUGUUGUUUGUAGGCUCAUUUAAUGACAUUGAGUCAUCUUUGUUUUGCAUUUUAGUUUGAAGUCUCCUGUUUGCACAUGUGUGCAAAUAGACCUGGUUAAAAUUUCUUUGUUUUUUCAUGAAAAAAGUGGAAGAUUGUUUCUGUUGCUCUAUCAGUAUCCGUUAAGAAGAUAGUUCUGCAUUUUGUUUUUCAUCUAUCUUGUGUAACUACAGAAAGAAAGAUACUGAAAAGAAAGGCUUCUAAGAGAAAACGUGAAAUGAACCUGUAGAUUGGACGUGGUGGACUUACAAAGCCAGACUAUGUAAUUUUCAGAGCAGACCUUACAGAAUAAUUUAGGAAGAAAUACUUGCUUGACACAUGUAUGUGUAGAAGAGAGAAGGAAACAGGACCAAGAACGAACAGUCAGGUAGCAAACAUUUCAAGUUAUUUAUAUAUGUCCCGACAAGUAGAGGAAAUGUAGGUAAAAUAAAAAUGAUGUCUAAGAAUAGCAUAUAUUCAAGAAAAGCAUGUAUCAGAGUCAUAGUAAUUCAUACAUAUUAUGGGAAAAGCUCCCAGAGUAUAAACAAGGAAAACUGUAAGGGGAAAAAUCAGCUGAAAUAAUUUUAGAAUUGUAAUUUGAGUAGAUAAAUUCACUGUAAUGCAGUAACUAUCACCUGAUCUAAACAGUAACAGUCAUCAAAACCCCUCUUCAACUCACAAUACAUCUGGGAAGUCAUGUGUUCUCUCAGGUUUUGAGGGGAAUGGGAAAAUACAGAAUAGAGUAUGGCAUAAGGGUUUGUUAUUUGCUUGCAAGCUAUGUCUUAAGAGGACAGUCAUACUGAAUUCACUGUGUUUCAUGCUUUGAUAUGAUAUAGGUGACUGCAAGGCAGCUUAAGAUUUGAGAAGGCCUUUCUUGUUUGGUUUAGAAAUUAAAACAAACAAUGAAACCGUGCAAUGGAAAGUGUCCUGGAUAUCUGGCAGCAGUGGUUUUGUGCAUACCUGAAGAGAAAAGCCUGUUACCACCAUUUCAGCUGUGAGUGGGAAAGUCAGAGGGAGUUGUUGCUAACUAGAAGUCGGUAUUUGGCAAGAUACUUACAAUAGUGAUACUUCGGGUAGUCAGGGAGUAAAAGAAAGGAAGAUGCUCAGACAUAGUACUAUGACAUACAGCUGAGGAAUAAUUCUGCAAACAUGUUUUCAACUUCAGAUUCAGGCUUUUGAAGGAAGUUCAUUAUCUUCUAAGUCUGGUGAUUUGAAUUGCCACAAACAUGAGACAGCUUAAAGAAACUUGUAUCCCUGAAUCUCUUUCUCUUUUUUUAUAUGCUCAUCAUACCCUGAAUUUUAGGAAAGCAAGCUUCCAGCUCCUCAAGGAGAUAGUCAGAAGGACUCCCUGGGAAACAGUCCUCGCGGACAGGGGAAUGGAACAGAGCUGGCAGAUCUUUAAGGAUGUGACCCACAGAGCGCAAGAGGUCAAGAUCCCCUGAUGUAAGAAAUCGGGCAAAGAAGGGAACAGAUCAGCAUGGCUGAGACACGAGAUGCUGGUCAAA